UUCCAAUGAACCGUCUGAGGCUGAAGAGAGACAAGAACACACGGAGCAGGGACAACCAGAGGAGCAGGAAGACCUUCAGUAUGCCAGCAUACACUUCUCUAAAACCCAGGAGCCUCUGUACAGCAAUACCAGACCAGCUCGGCCCCCCAGAGAACGGAGCAGCAGGACGUCACUGAGUACGCUGCCGUCAAAUUUACCAGGAACAGCACCGCCAUGAGAACCAGAAGUAAAGAACCUGAAGAGGAUCCAGCUGCUCUGUACAGCACCGUCAACAAAAGCCGAUGACCUCGACAGGCACUGUGUUCACACUCUGUUUUAGAUUUCAUAUAUUUGAAUGUAUGCAGGUCGCUUCUGAUUUUACAACACAUGUCUUAUGAACUGCUACUUAAAGAUUAUACCUUUGUAAUGAUUUUAACGGCCUGAUAAAUGUAACAUAAAGCAGCCUCGUUUUUUACCUCCAAUCUGUCAAAUCUACCACACACGGGAAGUAUUUCAUGACUUAGACUGGGUGGUAUGUAGGGAUGUGCGCCAUUAGCAUGCUAAUGCUAGGUACCAGAUCUGCUCGGGUGGUCACAUCUGCUCGGGGUCUUGUGUCUGCUUAUUUACAUUACACAAUAUGAUCGACUGUACGCCUGUAUGAUGAUGUAGCACAUGCUCAGAGGGGUUUCACUUGGUCCCCCCAUUAUGUCUCUGCCUCAUUCAGGUUGAAGACAAAACGUCACAGGGACGUUAAUAUCGCAGCUUGAAACGGCAGUCUGAACAGGGCUACAGAGAAGCAGACCAGACCUCUGGUUUCAGAGAAACAACGUCUUUUUGUUCUGUUGAAGGUCAGAGCAGGAACGUGGAAAAACAUUGACCUCCGUUUUCUAUAGAAUACCAUCAGUGGCGAAUCUAGAGUCUGUUGGGGCCCUAGGAAAAAGUUAAUUGGGGGCCCCUCCAACCCGUUUCAAUCAUCAUGUCCCGACGCUUCCUGUCUUUUUUUUAACUCACAUUUUUCCUGUUCUGACAAAGGUUGGUUUGCAAAGGAGAGGGAGUGCUGUCAGAUGGGGCCCCCUUUAGGGAGGUAUCCUACUGUCGUUGCAAAAUUUGUACAUUUUGAGCCACUGCUGUGGUUUAAAGUUUGUCAGCCCUUGGAGGCCCCCUACUGGCCUGGGGGCCCAAUCAGCUGCCUGCCUUACCUGUUGA